AAACUCUACAUUUCAGUAUCAUGUUAUAUAUGUAUAUCUUUUGCAUACAUCAAUGAUAAGAAAUUCAUCCUUACUUUUUAGCUACACUACCACGUAAAAAUGCAAAAAGGAAAUUGUUUGCUAAUGAAACAGAAGAAAACUUCUUGUCAAAAUCAAAUAAAGCUGGCCCCUGCAAGAAACAUGAAAAAUCAGAGUUCACAGGAUUGACAGAAAACAGACAAAAUAGGACCAAAAAAACAGAUGCAGAGUCCAUGACCAGGAAAAUACAGAGCCUUCUACCCGGUGACCCCGUUGCUGAGGAAUAUUUCAAAUACAGGAGACUCCU